rnacentral:rRNA from 1 species
AUUGAACGCUGGCGGCAUGCCUUACACAUGCAAGUCGAACGGUAACAGGUCUUCGGAUGCUGACGAGUGGCGAACGGGUGAGUAUACAUCGGAACGUGCCUAGUAGUGGGGGAUAACUACUCGAAAGAGUGGCUAAUACCGCAUGAGAUCUACGGAUGAAAGCAGGGGAUCGCAAGACCUUGUGCUACUAGAGCGGCCGAUGGCAGAUUAGGUAGUUGGUGGGAUAAAAGCUUACCAAGCCGACGAUCUGUAGCUGGUCUGAGAGGACGAUCAGACACACUGGGACUGAGACACGGGCCAGACUCCUACGGGAGGCAGCAGUGGGGAAUUUUGGGCAAUGGGCGAAAGCCUGAUCCAGCAAUGCCGCGUGCAGGAUGAAGGCCUUCGGGUUGUAAACUGCUUUUGUACGGAACGAAAAGCCCUGGGUUAAUACCCUGGGGUCAUGACGGUACCGUAAGAAUAAGCACCGGCUAACUACGUGCCAGCCGCCGCCGUAAGAC